GAUGAACGCUAGCGGCAGGCUUAACACAUGCAAGUCGAGCGGAUGAGUGGAGCUUGCUCCAUGAUUCAGCGGCGGACGGGUGAGUAAUGCCUAGGAAUCUGCCUGGUAGUGGGGGACAACGUUUCGAAAGGAACGCUAAUACCGCAUACGUCCUACGGGAGAAAGCAGGGGACCGUUCGGGCCGUUGCGCUAUCAGAUGAGCCUAGGUCGGAUUAGCUAGUAGGUGAGGUAAUGGCUCACCUAGGCGACGAUCCGUAACUGGUCUGAGAGGAUGAUCAGUCACACUGGAACUGAGACACGGUCCAGACUCCCUACGGGAGGCAGCAGUGGGAAGUAUUGGACAAUGGGCGAAAGCCUGAUCCAGCCAUGCCGCGUGUGUGAAGAAGGUCUUCGGAUUGUAAAGCACUUUAAGUUGGGUAGGAAGGGUAGGUAACCUAAUACGUUGCUACUUUG
rnacentral:rRNA from 1 species